rnacentral:ncRNA from 1 species
UAGUAAGUAAAUAAGAGCGUACGGGGAAUGCCUAGGCUCUCGGAGGCGAAGAAGGACGUGACAAGCUGCGAUAAGCUACGGGGAUGCGCAAGAGCAAUUGAUCCGUAGAUUUCCGAAUGGGGCAACCCACCCACUUUAGUGGGUAUCCGUUAAGGAGGCGAACGUGGGGAACUGAAACAUCUAAGUACCCAUAGGAGGAGAAAACAAUAGUGAUUCCGUAAGUAGUGGCGAGCGAACGCGGAUUAGCCCAAACCAUGUUUGUUACGGCAAGCAUGGGGUUGUAGGACCCUGGUGUGUGCAUAUAAAUUGACUAGAACGACGUGGGAAAGUCGGCCAGAGGAGGUGAGAGCCCUGUAUAGGAAGGUUUGUAUGUGCUAAGGGUAUCCUGAGUAGGUCGGGACAAGAGAAAUCCCGGUUGAAUCUGCCGGUACCAUCCGGUAAGGCUAAAUACUCCCGAGAGACCGAUAGUGAACGAGUACCGUGAGGGAAAGGUGAAAAGUACCGUGAAUAACGGGGUGAAAUAGAACCUGAAACCGUGCGCUUACAAGCGGUCGGAGUCCGCCUUUGGGUCGGAUGACGGCGUGCCUUUUGCAUAAUGAGCCUACGAGUUACGCUUCACUGGCAAGGUUAAGAGCUUAAGGCUUGUAGCCGGAGCGAAAGCGAGUCUGAAUAGGGCGUGCAGUCAGUGGAGGUAGACGCGAAACUUUGUGAUCUACCCAUGGACAGGUUGAAGUACUGGUAACACAGUAUGGAGGACCGAACCGAUAAACGUUGAAAAGUUUCCGGAUGAUCUGUGGGUAGGGGUGAAAGGCCAAUCAAACUGAGAAAUAGCUCGUACUCCCCGAAAUGUUUUUAGGAACAGCGUCAGGGAAUAUAAGCAGGAGGUAGAGCUACCGAUAGGACUAGGGGGAGUCACAUCCUACCAAAUCCUGACGAACUCCGAAUGCCUGCUUAUAGUACUGGCAGUGAGGGCAAGGGUGCUAAGGUCCUUGUCCGAGAGGGAAAGAACCCAGACCUACCGCUAAGGUCCCAAAAUUCGUGCUAAGUUGAACAAAGGUGGUCCAGCUGCAGAGACAGCCAGGAGGUUAGCUUGGAAGCAGCUAUUCCUUUAAAGAGUGCGUAACAGCUCACUGGUCGAGCGGCAGGGCGUCGAUAAUAAUCGGGCAUCAAGCGCGAUACCGAAGCGUAGGAUGGUCUACGAGAGUAGAUUAUGGUAGGGGAGCAUUCUAAUGACGGCGAAGGUAGAUGGUGAUGUUUACUGGAGUGAUUAGAAAAGCAAAUGUAGGCAUAAGUA